UCAUAAGAUAAAAGUAAUCCUGCUCAGAACGAGAGGAGCCACAGGUCAGAGCCCUGGUACAGGCACUUGGCUGAGGAGCCACUGGUGUGAAGCUGCCAUCUGUGGGCAUAUGACUGAAUGCCUCUAAGUCAGAAUCCUGCUGAGACACAGCGAUAUGUUGUUGCAAAUGUAUAAAAUUAUGAACCAGUUCUGAAUGAAUGUGUAGAAUAAACUGUACAUUCUGAUCCUCAUACAUAUUAAGUACUGGAAAUAAAAAGACAGGAUUUCUAUGAUCAUGAUGAAUUCUUUCCAUAUUCAACAUAUUAGAACUGAAUCGAUGG
rnacentral:ncRNA from 1 species